AAAUAUUAGUAUUAAAUAAAUACGAAAAUAAGAAUUAAAUAAAAUUAAAUAAGACACCAAGAAUGUGGAAAAUAUUUUUUGGUAUUUUAAUGAAUAAAGAAAAUAUUUUUAAGAAUUAAAAAACAAAACAGAAAAAUAAAUGUGAAUUAAGAAAAGAAAAUAAAAAUGUGAAUGGAUCAUGGUGAUGGGUCAGGCGUGUGGGGUGUGUGUAACACCUCAAAAUUUGCCCUCCU
rnacentral:lncRNA from 1 species